ACAGCACCUCUCCUGCGAAGGAGAGGCGCUGCACAGAUAGGGAGAGCUGCGCAGCACCCCUUAAGUGAAGCGGGAGGAGGAACAGAAGGGGCUCCUUUCCUCCUCCCACUUCGCUAAAGGGGUGCUGCGCAGUUCUACCUCUCUGCGCAGCGCCAUUCACUCCAUAAGACGCACUC